GGCCAGUUAUUGUAGUGGGCAUCACGUCGGAUUCUGAUUCCGGAAACGCUGGUUCGAUUCCGGCACAGGUCU
rnacentral:tRNA from 1 species